rnacentral:lncRNA from 1 species
UUAAAUGAAAACGUGGUUGGAUAUGUCCAAAAUAUAAAAAUCGUAUUAAAAAUGAUGGAACCAUGGUUACUUAUGUUUGGUUAGGUGAAGCUUGGUCUGGUCUGAAAUGAGGAUAAGGAAGUCUUUUGAUAAGCAUAUUGUGUUGGACAAGUGAGAAGUGUCUAAGAAAGUAAUUCGAAAGAUAGAAAGUGUCUUACAGUGUAAAAAAAUCAAAGAGAAAUGACAUUUUGAUAGUACUAAGAGAAAAAUACAAAAGAAUAGACUUUAAGGGUAUCUCCAACCCAAUUUCAGUUUUUACUUUAAAAUGAACUAAAAG